rnacentral:rRNA from 2 species
CGCUCUCCGCCUAUCAAAAAUGGGGAGUCGGACCUGCCCGGUGAAAUUUUUUAACGGCCGCGGUACUCUGACCGUGCAAAGGUAGCAUAAUCAUUUGCCUUAUAAUUGAAGGCUAGUAUGAAUGGUUUGACGAGAAUAUUCCUGUCUCUUCAUGAUUUUUAAGAAAUUUAUCUUUAGGUGAAGAAGCCUGAAUAAUAUUAAAAGACAAGAAGACCCUAUCGAGCUUAAAAUAAAUUAGUAGAUUUACCUUAUAUAUUAAUAAAAAAUUAGCUGCUAAACAUUUUGGUUGGGGCGACUGAGGAACAGAAAAAGCUUCCUGUUAUUUGAAAAAUAUACAAAUACUGAUCCAGAAUUUUGCUGAUUAACGAAAUUAGUUACCGUAGGGAUAACAGCAUUAUCUUUUUUGAGAGCUCUAAUCGAAAAAAAGGUUUGUGACCUCGAUGUUGGACCAGAAUAUCCCGAAGAUGCAGCAGUCUUCAAAGGUUGGUCUGUUCGACCAUUAAAAUUCU